GAGAGGUGGUGAUUUCUGGCAAGGAAGGGCUUUGAUUGCCAUGUGCAGUUGUUUCCGUUCAUUGCAGACAAAUGGCAGCGCUGCUUCUCCCCACCAAGAAAAACGGGGAUAGUGCAAGUGUUGGCAAGUUUGUUUUUAUGGAAUGAGCGGCGUUGGUGUGGCGUGAUAAGCAACUACCUGCAAUCAAACCUCAACCAAGGACUCUGCUGGCCUUCAUUUGGACUCUGGACUUCAUUUAAGCAAGCUGGCUUCCCAAGCAGCAGGGAACGGACAUCCACAGGCCCCAAAGUCUUCGUGGGGUGCCCAGCAACCCAGAAGAGCCUGACUUCGAGCACCCAAGUCCUGUUGCCUUGGUGGAAAAAAUUGUCCUUUAAAAGACCGUGUAAUAUCUGGGACUUAGAUGCUUGGGCUUACAAUAGGAAAGGAUGGCACUCCUUCAAUGUCUCCUGAGCAUCCCAGCUCAUAAAUCCAGCCUCUGCCUUUACGACCCGGAUCUGCUGGAGGAAACAGAUUUCCGUGGCGGUGGUCGGGCAGUCCUGGAGCUGUUCCUCCUGCGAGUGCAGGAACCGGCCCCGUGGCUGCUGCGGUCCCAGGCAAAUGGGGAUGAAUCCUGCAACAGGCAGGCUGGGCACGGGGGCUGAUGUCCUGGCACUGCCGUAUUGCUCAAGGUUAGGGUGGCUUCGGAGCACAAGCUUCAUCCCACACCGUGCAGCCUUUCAGUCGUUCCAGUUUAGCUCAGAAUAUACUUCUUGCCCAAACAAACGUCUCUGAUCUGUAUAGAUGAAUACCUCGUAUUAAAUUCACCAAAGAAACGGCAAUUACAGUAACGGCUGUUUGUAUGUAUGGCUUGGGCUGCUGUGCCUGGGCACGAGGGGAAUUUUUUUUUCAUAUGGUCAACGUGAGAGAAGUGAUCGAUUGCUUCCAGGACUGAGGAUGCAGGGCGCUGCGCUCCUGAUUUCUGCGUUCUGCCUCACAUCGGCGGGCUGCAGGCUGGCCCCGUGCUUCACCCCCGGGGCUGUGUGGACUUCGGGAGUCCGCAAGUAACUGCAGCAGCCACAAAAAGGAGCUGAGGAAAGGCAAGUUUGCCAUCACUCCUGCUGUUGUCACCUGCGGACCUCUUUUUCCAUUAAAAAAAAACUCCACACACCAAAAAAAUGUUGUAAACCACUGCAUUAGGUGUCUUGGUUGAGCAUAUUAUUUCAUGUCAUGCAUAUGUUAAAAUGUAUACAGUGAGUCAUGAAAUCAGAGCUACUAGCAGCCAUAAAACUUGCUCACAGUUAAUGCUAAGCAUUUUACAUUUAUUUCCCCUCUCCUGACUGUCUUUACUACUGAUUUCCAACUGUGUUGAUGGUACAGUUUUUAAUUAACUCAUUAUGGGUUAAAUGAGUAAUCUUCAAGGCUUUGCCUAAGAUUGCGGGUCUGUUAAACUAUGUAACACAACGACAUUAAUUAUAGUGUGUUUGUUUUUAUCUCCUGAAUACAAUCAGGAAAAUAUUUCCUCCGUCUUGGAUGGUGUUUAUAAGAGGAAAUUCCGCGAUGAGAUUUAAAAGAA